rnacentral:rRNA from 1 species
UACGUAGGGUGCGAGCGUUGUCCGGAAUUACUGGGCGUAAAGAGCUCGUAGGUGGUUUGUCGCGUUGUUCGUGAAAACUCACAACUCAAUUGUGGGCGUGCGGGCGAUACGGGCAGACUGGAGUACUGGAUGGGAGAGUGGAAUUCCUGGUGUAGCGGUGAAAUGCGUAGAUAUCAGGAGGAACACCUGUGGUGUAGACGGCUCUCUGGACAGAUAACUGACGCUGAGACACGAAAGCGUGGGUAGCAACAGG